GGGGAUGUGGCUCAGUGGUAGAGUGCUUGCCUAGCACACAUGAGGCACUGGGUUCUAUCCUCAGCACCACA
rnacentral:tRNA from 1 species